rnacentral:pre_miRNA from 2 species
GCGCUGAAUUUAAGUAAGCAAGAGAUCGAUCCAUUAAGAGAGCUCCUUAACAUCAUCCUAAUGUAUCCUUCUCUUGUUGAUUACAGUGUA